rnacentral:rRNA from 1 species
AUUGAACGCUGGCGGCAGGCUUAACACAUGCAAGUCGAGCGAGCGGCGGACGGGUGAGUAAUGUCUGGGAAACUGCCUGAUGGAGGGGGAUAACUACUGGAAACGGUAGCUAAUACCGCAUACCAUCAGAUGUGCCCAGAUGGGAUUAGCUAGUCGGUGGGUGAAUGGCUAACCUAGGCGACGAUCCCUAGCUGGUCGGAGAGGAUGACCAGCCACACGGGAACUGAUACACGGUCCAGACGCCAACGGGAGGCAGCAGUGGGGAAUAUUGCAAAAUGGGGGAAAGCCUGAUGCAGCCAUGCCGCGUGUGUGAAGAAGGCCUUCGGGUUGUAAAGCACUUUCAGCGAGGAGGCGUUACUCGCAGAAGAAGCACCGGCUAACUCCGUGCCAGCAGCCGCGGUAAUAC